AACCUUUACAAUGCACGAAAGUGUGAUAAGGGAAUCCCAAGUGCUUUGCUUUUAGCAAGGCUUUUGCCAUGUGUAAAAAGCAUGGUGAAUAAGUGGUGGGAAAGACUUGUGCCAGCCGCCGCGGUAACACCAGCGCCACAAGUGGCAACCAGUUUUAUUGGGCCUAAAGCGUCCGUAGCCGGUUCAGUAAAUUUCCUGUGAAAUCGUUAGGCUUAACUUAACGGCAUGCAGGAAAGACUACUGGACUUGGGACCGGGAGGCGUCAUAGGUAUUCUUGAGGGAGCGGUAAAAUGCUAUAAUCUCAAGAGGACCUCCAGUGGCGAAGGCGUAUGACGAGAACGGAUCCGACGGUGAGGGACGAAAGCCAGGGGAGCGAACCGG
rnacentral:rRNA from 1 species